ACCCGCUGAACUUAAGCAUAUCAAUAAGCGGAGGAAAAGAAACUAACAAGGAUUCCCCUAGUAACUGCGAGUGAAGAGGGAAAAGCUCAAAUUUAAAAUCUGGCAGUCUUUGAUUGUCCGAGUUGUAAUUUAGAGAAGUGUUACCCGUGUUGGACCGUGUACAAGUUUCCUGGAAUGGAACGUCAUAGAGGGUGAGAAUCCCGUCUUUGACACGGAUCCCAAUGCAUUGUGGUAUACUUUCGAAGAGUCGAGUUGUUUGGGAAUGCAGCUCUAAAUGGGUGGUAAAUUCCAUCUAAAGCUAAAUAUUGGGGAGAGACCGAUAGCGAACAAGUACCGUGAGGGAAAGAUGAAAAGAACUUUGGAAAGAGAGUUAAACAGUACGUGAAAUUGCUAAAAGGGAAACGCUUGAAGUCAGUCGCGUUGUCCAGGGAUCAGCCUUCCUUCUGGUUGGUGUACUUCCUGGUUGACGGGUCAGCAUCAGUUUUGACCGGUGGAUAAGAGUGAGAGGAAUGUGGCAUCUUCGGGUGUGUUAUAGCCUUUUAUUGUAUACAUCGGUUGGGACUGAGGAACUCAGCACGCCGCAAGGCCGGGUUUUUAACCACGUUCGUGCUUAGGAUGCUGGCAUAAUGGCUUUAAUCGACCCGUCUUGAAACACGG
rnacentral:rRNA from 1 species